CAGGGUGGGACCCAUUGAAUCCUCUGUCUCUGUCCCUUGGCUCAGGGGCUAUUGCAUAGAAGGCUCUCAGCCAAUCUGCUGAUUAACUGAACCAAGUAUGAACCUCAGAAGUAAAUUAGUAAUGUAGACCAAACUAAUAAAACGUGACUAGGUAAUGUUUUAAUCAGUCUAUAGUGCACACACCUGUGAAGCAGGACGUGAGAACCUCGUGUGGCACUUCCUUUAUCCCUCUGUUUAGUGUAUGUUCCGUUUCAGAGGAAGAAAGGUGCCAGCAGCCCUGGCAGUGCCAAGCGGUGAGCACAUUCUGCUUCAAGGUCAUGUGUCCCUCGUGUCAGUCACUCUAAGGGAAACGUGUUUGCAGUUAGAUUCUUUGCCAGGUAGGUUACAGUUCAGAGUAUCAUAACAAUGGUUUGAUUGUACUUAAUAUGAUGACUAUUUAUUUAUAAGUAGAAAACUUCUUUGUUGUUAGGAAAUGGAUUAAAAAUGCUUCCUUCCAUGUGGGGACAAGUACAUGGAGUACUGCACACAUGGCAUACGUUAAGGGCGCCUGAGUGGCAGGCCCUCCCCUCAUGCUAGGCUGUGAGCAGCAGGCCACUUAUCCCAUAGGCACAGCCCUGGACGUGAGGCCAUGUGUUGCAGUCCCUGCACUUGCUGCACAGCCCACUCCUCGAUUGGUGGCUGCAAGGAGAGUUAACAGACAUUGUACUGUGGCUGCCUGUAAUCUGCUUAGCUACUGCCUGAGUAUAUAUACAUGGUAACUGCACAAUAAAAUCAGACCUGCUUCCUGCUUGGUCUCCGGAGGUCUUGAUUAGCAACUCCGCAGCCACACUCUCCUCUACCCUGUUCCGUAGACCUCCUCGCUGGACAAGAGAGAGCCCAUGCACUUCCAGGUUCCUGUGUAUUUGGGAUUGGGACUUUUAGGAUCUGUGACAUUGG
rnacentral:lncRNA from 1 species